CCUACGGGAGGCAGCAGUGGGGGAUAUUGCACAAUGGGGGAAACCCUGAUGCAGCGACGCCGCGUGGGUGAAGAAGCGCCUCGGCGCGUAAAGCCCUGUCAGCAGGGAAGAAAAUGACGGUACCUGAAGAAGAAGCCCCGGCUAACUACGUGCCAGCAGCCGCGGUAAUACGUAGGGGGCAAGCGUUAUCCGGAUUUACUGGGUGUAAAGGGGGCGCAGACGGCGAGGCAAGCCCGGUGUGAAAGCCCGGGGCCCAACCCCGGGACUGCUCUUGGAACUGCGUGGCUAGAGUGCAGGAGGGGCAGGCGGAAUUCCUGGUGUAGCGGUGAAAUGCGUAGAUAUCAGGAGGAACACCGGUGGCGAAGGCGGCCUGCUGGACUGCAACUGACGUUGAGGCCCGAAAGCGUGGGGAGCAAACAGGAUUAGAUACCCUUGUAGUC
rnacentral:rRNA from 1 species